rnacentral:lncRNA from 1 species
CUGGGAUUUUGUCUUUUAAGAGCAGCCUGGUCCUGUCUGCUGCAGAGCCUUUUGUCUCGCUAACCUGGAUCCUGACGGGCGCGACAAAAGGUUCUGCGGCUGCGCUGGGGAGACCUCGGCCCUGAGCACUGGCACAGUGCCUGAGGAGGCCUUUACCAGGGCUCUGGGGUUUGGGGGGGUUCCUUCUGACGUGUUUUCUAAGUUCCUUCUGUCCUGAACAAUGAAUUGGUCGGGACAAGCUCAGAAGACAGCUAGGCUCUACAUCCAUUCAAGGCAGGAAAAUAAACUUGCUGCACAGGGUGAGGACAGACCACUGGGAAAGAGAGCCUCUCUCUGGCUGGUGUCAGGUCGAGGCCUAUCAGAAACCUGCUCAAGUUCUCGCGAGAAGACUUGAAGCGAGCGCUCUGAUUGGCCCCAGGCGUGGGGCUUUGGGAACCGUUUUGCCACCGUUCCUGAAGUUUCUGUUGAACCGUCCCACCCACUUUUCCCGCGGCUUCGUCGCACCUUAAUCUCUUGCCUCAGACUCGCUCUGGGUCUGUGGCUUCUGGGAGCCCGCUGAGGGGUCUGGGCGGCGCUCUCACCUGUCCAGCACAGGUUCGUCCUGCCCAGUGCUCACAGCCCCAAACCUGAGCCCGUUCAGCAGGCUCCUCCGCUUCCACCCGAUGGACGGAGCUCUUCGCUGCUUCCGGUUCUCCCGGCACCGUUAGUAGACAUCAGAAGAGAGAAGACUACAAGUGUAGGUUGGGCCGCUUGUAAAGGCCAGGCAGCCAAGGCAAAAUGACAUCCUCCCGGGCAAGGUCGUCACUCUGAGGAGAGUCAUUGUCCCCACCUCCGUCGCACGUUGGAAGCAGAGGCAGCCCAGAGUCCGAGCCGGGGGUUUCUGAGUCGCCUCAAGCUCUGCCCCACGAGGACAGGAAACCUUUGCCAGGACCUCACCUUACAGAAUCUCACCUUUCCUGCUUUGGUGGAGAAACUACCACAAAGCAAGGAACCAAGAGAGGCUUCCAACCACAGCCAGUAGGACAUUGGAACCAUCAUCCCAGCAGCCUUGAGGAACAGACUCCUCCAAAAGUGCAGACAUAACAUGGAUGCAUGUUCUUCUCCACUAGACCCUUCAGAUGAAGCCCCUUGGCUGCACUUCCUGAAGGGCUCUAAAGCAGGAAAAGUAGCUGGAUCUUGCCUGGAUUCCUAACUCGUCAAAACUUUGAGAUAAUAAAUGUAUGUAUUUUUAAGCCACUAAAUUUUAAAGUACUCAUUACAACACAUAAGAUAACUAAUACAUCCCUAAAUCCCUGUAACUUUGGUAUAAGAUAUAGUAGACCAGGAACCAAGCUCACCUUCCUCAAAUACGGUAGCAGAGUGUCUGACAACAUCCCUGAACACAUUGCCCUCAUGUUUGAAGACUGUUCCUUAUACUUCAAAAAUAAAAUGUGUCGCUGAGUCACGCGAAAGACGCCGAAUCAGCCCGCUGCAGACAGGCAGGCCUGUGCACACCCUACCGAGGUCCUGAGUCACGCAGAAGACGCCGAAUCACCCCACUGCAGACAGGCAGCCACCUGAUUCCACAUUACCAAGGCGCAGAGGACACCAGACCACCAGACCAAGGAAGAACCUGGUAUCUAACUCCAGAAGGAGAGGUGAACAACCCAGAACUCCGUAACGUUAAAGUUGAGAAGCCACUUUUAGACAUAGGCUACGUAACAUUUUGGCAUAGCCAGCCUGGAGGAAAGCUCAGGUACAAGAGACAAAGGCUGGAGAUACAGCAGACUGUUCUCAAGGUGUGCAGGGAGCUGUUUGCUACUUUUCUAGCCAUGGGGAAUGAAGGAAGGGAAUGUACACUUUUGUCUUUCUAGCUGCUGCUGUUCACUCUGUAGGUCCCAAGACAAGCAGAUGGGAGAUCUAUUGGAUCUCACCACCAACAGAUUGACAUUGACCCUAGGCCACACUCUCAAUGAGUGGGAAAGUUUUGAUGAUCCUGACAAUCUAAAACAGGAGCAGCUCGGGCUGGGGAUUUAGGUCAGUGGGGCUGCAGCUGCCUUGCAAGCACAAGGUCCUGAGUUCUAUCCCCAGUACCAAAAAAUAAAAUAAAAUAGGAGCAGCUUAUCUAUUAUUGCAAUACAGUAUGAACUGGGAGGUGUUGAGCGAUUGAUACAGGAUGGUACUUUAAAUUAUGAGACUAUUCUCCAGUU